UACGUAGGGUGCAAGCGUUGUCCGGAAUUAUUGGGCGUAAAGAGCUUAUAGGCGGUUUGUCGCGUCUGCUGUGAAAUUUCGGGGCUCAACCCCGAACUUGCAGUGGGUACGGGCAGACUAGAGUGUGGUAGGGGGAGACUGGAAUUCCUGGUGUAGCGGUGAAAUGCGCAGAUAUCAGGAGGAACACCGAUGGCGAAGGCAGGUCGCUGGGACGGUACUGACGCUGAGACGCGAAAGCGUGGGGAGCAAACAGG
rnacentral:rRNA from 1 species